GGCGCCGUCUCGCCCCCGUGUGGUGGGAGGAGGAUAGCCCAGAUUUAAGCUACCUGCCAGGAACUCUACACCUCCUUGGUACUUGGCAUGGCUGUGUUGGAUCCAUGCAAAACCGUGCCUGCUGUAGUUUCUACACCAGUUCUGCCAAAAGGAAAGCGAUUCCAGGGGCUGCUGGAGAACUAUGAUGCCUUGACUUGAAGCUGCACUGAUCAUUCUGAUCGUAGUGUUUUGUACGUGUGUAAGUCUGCACACCGGAAGAAGGCAUCAACGAUGAAUUGCUAUGUGGUUGCUUGGAAUUGAACUCGGGACUUCUGGAAGAGCAGCUGUGCUCUUAACCACUGAGCCAUCUAUCAAGCCCUGACAUUGGUCACUUUCAUAUGCUUAUCUUUCUUAAAGGACUUCAGCUCUGUAUUUUUGUUGGUGGUUUUGGUUUUUUAUAAUAUAAGAUUUCUGUUAUUUGAGAAUUUCAUAUAUGCCUAUAAUGUAUUUCUAUUAUAUUCCAGGAUGACCCCAUAUUCCCUUCACAAUUUCGUGCCCUCUUUUUUUUUUUCAGUAACCCACUGAGUUUAAUUAAUGUGGCCCAUACACACAUGUGGGGUGGGAAACCCAAUGAGUGAUUGACCUACCAGAGAACACCCUCUACCACCACCUCCCCAGUGGGGAGGGGAACCCCCUCCUCCAGCAGCCGUCAAUAGCUCCCAUGCAGAGUCAGUGGUCUUCAUCUGAGCCCCUUCCACUCCAUGCUGGACCAUUGACUGGCUUGGUCUUCUGCAAGUCUUACACAGGCUCCCACAGCUGCUGUAAAUACAAUGGUCCUGUCAUAUUUAGAUGACACUGUUUCUCCCCAGUCUGCCCUGACCUCUGACUCAUACAAUCUCCCCACCUCCUCUUCAGUGAUAUUCUCUGAACCUUAGAGGAAGGCGUAUGAUGUAGAUGUCCCCAUUCGUGUCUGAACAAAUCACAGCCACUUGCUCUUUGCACUCUGAACAGAGCACAGGUGAUAUGGAGGAACAAACAGACAGAUACUUGGGGAAGGGGUGGGAAGAGAAGACAGAGGAAGAUGUGGAGAAAUGGAUAAUUAACAUUGGGAUGCUUGGGGGAGAACAUGGAAACCUCGACAAACUUCUUAAAUAUGUACUUAAAUGGAGCUACCCAACACCGUGGAAAAUGUUCUUUCCAGAAGUCACAAAUAAACUACCCACUGACAGGUAUGGAUAUUCCCCUUGAGUGGUUGGACUUGGGACUCCCAGAGACCCCUCAAACACAGGCUAUUGACAUUGCUUUUGGUUUCUCACCAGAACUUGAUAAGACCCUAUUGCAGAAGAUAUCACACAUUUUGAUGACAAAACUUAGAGAAAUCCACCUGUGCUGACCUAGAAAUCCUUCCCUGCUGGAUAGCUUUCAUAGUUCUGGAGUGCUGGGGGAGAGAAGCCAUCAACAAGGUUGUGGGGCAAGUGGACUAUGCCACCAGGCAGAAGAACUGGUAAGGUUGGAGGAGGUUCAAAACCCCCCAGGAGAUCUCAUAAUUGAGAGCAGCAGGCAUGGAACCAGCUCCCAGCCAGGCUCUACCUGUCCUGCAACACAUGACCAUGUCACCCCACUGAGAGGACAAUGACAAAUGAUCAUAUCAUGUAGCAUAAAAGCCUGGGGUUCUUCAUGCUAGUUAGGUAUCUAGAUAAGGCAGAAUGUUCACUCAAUGAGCUUCCCGUCCUAGCUGUUCCUUCCUGCAAGAGAUAGUUAAUCUCUGGUUCACCCUGAGUAAGGUGUGUGCAUUGACAUCUUCCAUAACAAUAAAGCAGUUUGAACAACCAAGAACUAGUCUCCAUCAAGGAUUGUCUCCUUCAUUAAGGAUCACAGGAGCUUGCGGUUGGGGGCUUCAUUGUAAAGUACAGUGCCUAAAUCUCUCAGAGAAGGCCUUCUCUCUUCCAGCCCCUCUAUACACUCAGCACUCACUCAGAACCAGAUCACUCUCAACUACUCGAGGUCCCCAGUGGCGUCUUGGUUCACAGGAGAUUGAGAACAACAGCAUCUGUCCCAGACCUCCCUGUUUCCCAUCUGGAGAAACACAAAACGUGGGCGGGACACCUAUCAUAGGCUGUGUUCUGCCUCCUCUGAGCAGCUUGUUGGUGAUGCUCUCAGCACCCCAGUGGUGAGGCAGAUUCACAGCCCAACAUAAUCUUGCCCAGGUGUGAGUCUGCAAGGCAUAGUAAUGACCAGCCAUGGGUACAACAGUGGCAUGAAAAUCAUGGGGGCAACCAAUUCUUUCUGAUUGGAUUUAAGGCUCAUUGUACAGAAGCAAAAACAUGCCUCAUACUAUAAGUCUAGCUGGAAAAUUGGCUGAAGAGCUCAUAGGCCCUAAGGAUGAGCCUACCAUUCCAUUGCUAAAUGGACACGUGAUCAAACUGACUUCUAAAUACAUUUCUCUAAACCUACAGAUUAGGGCAUCUGCCACUUCUCAUCUGAGACGUGCCUGUGAGGUGGGCAGUGGUUAAGACAAAGGCUCAAUCUUGUUGCCUUUGUCUUCAUCCUACUCUCCUGCCUCAGUUCCCCACUGAGAGCUUCUGAUGAAGCUGAAGGAUGUUACCCAAGGUGCUCCAGUGGCAGUCUACCAUGGCUUGAGCAGGUGUUUUUCAGGGGACUUCAGGCAGAAUCCAUCUGUAAUGGCCGCCAUCACUGAAGCUGAAGGCCCACUCUCCCUUUGGAAGACAGAGUUUCUUUAUAUACCCUGACUGCCCUGGAACUGGCUCUGUAGACCAGGCUGGCUUUGAACUCAUGGAGAUCUGCUGCCUGGGCCGUUGGACUACUUUCUGCUGACCCUCAGAAUCAAUGACACAGACUCAGGAGCAGGAUGCACAGAGAAGAACUGACACUAUAGACAAGAACUUUCACUGAUGUCCGGGAACCUGAUGGCACUGCAUUUUACUUUCCACAACAACAAAGGUUCAGGGACAACAUUAAGGACAUCCAUAGAACCCUGAGACUUAACAGAGCUAGCCUUUGAAUCCUCAGUCCUGCCAGGGGAUGGUCCUGAAGCACAGAUCAAGACUCAUGAACCCUGGUGGAAACAACAGAUGAAACCACCAAGUGUCCAGGUCCAGACACUACAGGCGAUGGAGUCAGCCUUCACAACACACUGCAUCCUCCCCACUCUGGCCAGAGCCCAAUUCCCAGAGUAAGGAUGGUUCUCUGUGGUAUCACCUGGGUAUAAAGAGGCCAUGGGCUCUAUGAUGACUAUUCUUGGUUGUCAUCUUGGCUACAUCUGGAAUUAACUAAAGCCCAAUGGGCUGGGUGCACCUGUAAGGAUUAUUUUUUCUUGAAGACCCACUUCUAAUCUGGAUCUUUGAGGUGGGAAGAUCCACCUUUAAUCUGAGCCACACCUUCUGCUGAAAAGUCGUAUAAAGGACAUAGAAGAAAGGAGCUUUACUCUCUGCCUGCUUGGUCUUGAUGUCAUUGGCCAGUUCAUGGCAUUAGAGCCCGUGUCUUCAGGAUUCUGGUGUAUACUGAAAACCAGCUGAGACAUACAGCCUUGGAGACUGAACACCUACUGUAUUUUUGGAUCUUCCAUCGGUAGAUAACCAUCGUUGGAGUAGCUGGACCACAGCCCAUAAGUCUCACUAAUACAUGCCCUUUCUAGAGAGAUUCAGUCAGCUCUACUCCUCUAAAGAACCUGCACAACACAGGCAUGAACUGCAGCAACUACCAUGGCUAUCGCAUGCCCGAGCUGGGUCAUCAAGACUGUCCUGAGAGCAAAUGAGAAAAGGGAGUGGAGAUGGGCAACUACUGGCAGUUUAAGAGCAUUUGGGGGAGCAGUAGUGUUGUGGGACCCAGUAGUUAGGCACGCUGUGGAUGUGGACCCAUCUGGAGACUCUUCUUCUCUCCUGACCUUGUGGUAUCAAAAACUGUGAAGAAAGUUGGAUUCAGUAUCCCCA